CCUGGUCACUGAUGAUGUGGAUGUGCUGAGGAGCCGAGGCUCCCUCUGUGCCGUGCAUGGGAGGCAGAGGGCUGCCUGCCUGCCUGGAGCUCUGCCUCUCCCCUAGCGGCGCAAAGCGGCAGCUGCCUCCAGCCUCCUCGAGACUUCUCCGCUGCGCCGGGCAGCCCGGGCUGGGGCACGCGGAGGUGACGGGGCGCCUCGCAGCGCAGCAGCAGCAGAUACAUUUAAGAUUUGACUCUGUGCAACACUUCAUCAUCAAAGUGAACAUUGGCAG